UGGUGACAUUUUGUUUUCUCCAA
rnacentral:piRNA from 1 species